AUGCUCUCACAAACCACUUCUAGUGGGGAGCAAGAAAAUUGCCUCAAAAAGUUGGGUGUGCCAAACGAAAUGACCAGAUAGCUGAAUAAUUUUGCGAUAAUUAUUUAAACGUAUAAAUAAUGAACUAGCUAUUAUAUAAAUUAAAAAUAUUUGGAAUAAUUUCAUAAGAAAUUCAAAUGCAGAUAUUUGUUUUAAGAAAAAAAUGUAUUGUUUAGAAAUUCGAGAAGCGUGUGCAUUCCUCAAAAUCAUUGGUUAAGAAGAGAGAACAGGGUAAGCAACUUGACCAGAUCUACCAUCUAGAGACCACAGUUGUAAACCAUAUUUGUUUUUAGAAACACCUCCCUGACUUAUAUUUCCUCGUUUUUCACAUGCACGCUUCGUAAAAUGUAAAACGACAUGUAUUUUUUUAAAAAAUAAAAUUUCUAAAAAAAGUAGUUUCAAAAAUCAAAUUAAUCCAUUAUUUCAAAAUUUAUGUUAGCUAAUGCUAAGGGAGGGAUCGUUUCGUUUAAUGUACAGGAAGUAGAGUUCCCAACCUCCACUCCGUGCACGUAAAACAAAAUAAUCCAUUAACACAUAAUUAAUUAAGCAUCAACUAAUUUUUUUAAAAAAGAUUAAUAUCAUUUUUUGAAAAAACAACUUUUCUAUUUUUUUAAAAAAAUAUAAUGUUUAGCAAUUUUGAAAACGUAUGUGCGGAAGCAAAGGGAGUAUAAGUUGAAAAAGGUGAGUGCAUGCAUGCGGAACUCAGCCUAAAAUCUACCAUCUGUCACUCAAAAGCAACGUCUCAACAUGUUAACAAG
rnacentral:sRNA from 1 species